rnacentral:rRNA from 1 species
CAGUAGCCGCGGUAAUACGGAGGGGGCUAGCGUUGUUCGGAAUUACUGGGCGUAAAGCGCACGUAGGCGGCUUGGUAAGUUAGAGGUGAAAGCCUGGAGCUCAACUCCAGAAUUGCCUUUAAGACUGCCGAGCUAGCAGGUGAGAGAGGUAAGUGGAAUUCCGAGUGUAGAGGUGAAAUUCGUAGAUAUUCGGAAGAACACCAGUGGCGAAGGCGGCUUACUGGCUCAUACUGGACGCUGAGGUGCGAAAGCGUGGGGAGCAAACAGGAUUAGAUACCCCGGUAGUCCAUGUCUCUUAUAC